rfam:Camelus ferus unplaced genomic scaffold scaffold598, whole genome shotgun sequence.
GAGGGUGUAGCUCAGCGAGAGAGCACAUGCUUAGCAAGCACAAGGUCCUGGGUUCAAUCCCCAGCACCUCCA